rnacentral:rRNA from 1 species
UACGUUCCCGGGCCUUGUACACACCGCCCGUCACACCACGAAAGCCCGUUGCAACAGAAGUCCUGGCCUAGCCAGGCCCAAGUUGUGAUUGGUGAUUGGGGUGAAGUCGUAAACAAGGUACC